rnacentral:rRNA from 1 species
UACGGGAGGCAGCAGUGGGGAAUAUUGCACAAUGGGCGCAAGCCUGAUGCAGCCAUGCCGCGUGUAUGAAGAAGGCCUUCGGGUUGUAAAGUACUUUCAGUCGUGAGGAAGGUGUUAAGGUUAAUAACCUUAGCAAUUGACGUUAGCGACAGAAGAAGCACCGGCUAACUCCGUGCCAGCAGCCGCGGUAAUACGGAGGGUGCGAGCGUUAAUCGGAAUUACUGGGCGUAAAGGGCACGCAGGCGGUUAAUUAAGUUGGAUGUGAAAUCCCCGGGCUUAACCUGGGAAUGGCAUUCAAGACUGGUUAGCUAGAGUCUUGUAGAGGGGGUAGAAUUCCAUGUGUAGCGGUGAAAUGCGUAGAGAUGUGGAGGAAUACCGGUGGCGAAGGCGGCCCCUGGACAAAGACUGACGCUCAUGUGCGAAAAGCGUGGGGAGCAAAAC